UACGUAGGGUGCAAGCGUUGUCCGGAAUUAUUGGGCGAAAGAGCUCGUAGGUGGCCUGUUGCGUCCGCUGUGAAAACUCAGGGCUUAACCCUGAGCCGGCAGUGGAUACGGGCAGGCUAGAGGUAGGUAGGGGGAGAAUGGAAUUCCUGGUGUAGCGGUGAAAUGCGUAGAUAUCUGGAGGAACACCGGUGGCGAAGGCGGCAUCCUGGACCAACACUGACGCUGAGUGAGCGAAAGCCCAGGGGAGCAAACGGG
rnacentral:rRNA from 1 species